rnacentral:lncRNA from 1 species
GGAGAAGAGAAUGAAAAUUUCUUUUUGCUUAUCUUGGGGGUCUCCGCACCCCUCUAUCCAUGGAGGAGGGAGUUAGAGUCGUACAUAUUUUGGAGUUUGGAUGGUUUUUUAGAUAUUGUGCAUAGAUUAAACUGGCGAGAGUUAUUUACAUUCGAGAUGUGAUUCAAUCGAAGAUAUUCUUUCUUAUCUAGAGGUUUCGAAGUUCAAAAGAGAGUGGAUUUUAUGAAUGAAGAAAGCUGCAUAUUUUAGUUGGAGGUGGUC